CGUAGGGGGCUAGCGUUGUCCGGAAUCAUUGGGCGUAAAGAGCGUGUAGGCGGUCCGGUAAGUCCGCUGUAAAAGUCGGGGGCUCAACCCUCGAAAGCCGGUGGAUACUGUCGGGCUAGAGUACGGAAGAGGCGAGUGGAAUUCCUGGUGUAGCGGUGAAAUGCGCAGAUAUCAGGAGGAACACCAAUUGCGAAGGCAGCUCGCUGGGACGUCACUGACGCUGAGACGCGAAAGCGUGGGGAGCAAACAGGAUUAGAUACCCUGGUAGUCCACGCCGUUAACGAUGGGCACUAGGUGUGGGGGGUGUCGACUCCCUCCGUGCCGAAGCUAACGCAUUAAGUGCCCCGCCUGGGGAGUACGGCCGCAAGGCUA
rnacentral:rRNA from 1 species